rnacentral:rRNA from 1 species
GACGAACGCUGUCGGCGUGCUUAACACAUGCAAGUCGAACGGAAAGGCCCUGCUUUUGUGGGGUGCUCGAGUGGCGAACGGGUGAGUAACACGUGAGUAACCUGCCCUUGACUUUGGGAUAACUUCAGGAAACUGGGGCUAAUACCGGAUAGGAGCUCCUGCUGCAUGGUGGGGGUUGGAAAGUUUCGGCGGUUGGGGAUGGACUCGCGGCUUAUCAGCUUGUUGGUGGGGUAGUGGCUUACCAAGGCUUUGACGGGUAGCCGGCCUGAGAGGGUGACCGGCCACAUUGGGACUGAGAUACGGCCCAGACUCCUACGGGAGGCAGCAGUGGGGAAUAUUGCACAAUGGGCGGAAGCCUGAUGCAGCAACGCCGCGUGCGGGAUGACGGCCUUCGGGUUGUAAACCGCUUUCGCCUGUGACGAAGCGUGAGUGACGGUAAUGGGUAAAGAAGCACCGGCUAACUACGUGCCAGCAGCCGCGGUGAUACGUAGGGUGCGAGCGUUGUCCGGAUUUAUUGGGCGUAAAGGGCUCGUAGGUGGUUGAUCGCGUCGGAAGUGUAAUCUUGGGGCUUAACCCUGAGCGUGCUUUCGAUACGGGUUGACUUGAGGAAGGUAGGGGAGAAUGGAACUCCUGGUGGAGCGGUGGAAUGCGCAGAUAUCAGGAGGAACACCAGUGGCGAAGGCGGUUCUCUGGGCCUUUCCUGACGCUGAGGAGCGAAAGCGUGGGGAGCGAACAGGCUUAGAUACCCUGGUAGUCCACGCUGUAAACGGUGGGUACUAGGUGUGGGGUCCAUUCCACGGGUUCCGUGCCGUAGCUAACGCUUUAAGUACCCCGCCUGGGGAGUACGGCCGCAAGGCUAAAACUCAAAGGAAUUGACGGGGCCCCGCACAAGCGGCGGAGCAUGCGGAUUAAUUCGAUGCAACGCGUAGAACCUUACCUGGGUUUGACAUGGAUCGGGAGUGCUCAGAGAUGGGUGUGCCUCUUUUGGGGUCGGUUCACAGGUGGUGCAUGGCUGUCGUCAGCUCGUGUCGUGAGAUGUUGGGUUAAGUCCCGCAACGAGCGCAACCCUUGUUCACUGUUGCCAGCACGUUAUGGUGGGGACUCAGUGGAGACCGCCGGGGUCAACUCGGAGGAAGGUGGGGAUGACGUCAAGUCAUCAUGCCCCUUAUGUCCAGGGCUUCACGCAUGCUACAAUGGCUGGUACAGAGAGUGGCGAGCCUGUGAGGGUGAGCGAAUCUCGGAAAGCCGGUCUCAGUUCGGAUUGGGGUCUGCAACUCGACCUCAUGAAGUCGGAGUCGCUAGUAAUCGCAGAUCAGCAACGCUGCGGUGAAUACGUUCCCGGG